AUGCUCUUCCCUCCUCUCCCAUGCUCUCUUCUUCCCUGCUCCCAUUUUUUUUUUCCUUUUUUUUUUUUUUUUUUGGUUCUUCAACCGCAUCCUUUGAUGGUCACAUUCCACCCCACACUUUCAACUACCAGCUACAAAACCAACUUCCAAAGUGAUUCCCAGAUCCAAGCCCAGAUUUUGCCACCGCCUGCCUGAAAACACCUCUUCAACACCUAAGAGGAACCUCAUAAGACAAAAGCAGAGCUCUUGUCCUCUGUCUUUCCCAACCCAAGAAACAGAAGUGCAACCUACUGAAUCAUUCAAGUGAAAAAUCAAUGAAUCUUUCCCUUCCCCUCACUGUGUAAUCCAUCAGCAAGUUCUCUUGGUUCUAACUUCUUUUUUUUUUUUUUUACAUGAAAGCACAGUUCAUGGAUCCACUUACAAUAAUGGGAAACUAAAACCGCAGAUUGUAUAAGAGAAGAAUAUCUGAAGAACGGUUAACCAGUCUCCAUCACAAUUCAUCAUGUGAAUCGCCUAGUAGUUGCUGAGGUAUGAUUCCAGCAAAUAAUUCUUCCAGAUACGUUGCAAUUUCAGAGACUUCUCUGUACUCUUGCUAAGUUUUGUGGAAGUAUGCUUUACAGUAAAAGUUUUCCCAAUUACAUUACAGUCAUGAUUUUUCUUUCGUGUGAGUUACCAGUUUACCAUUCAAAGAUGACUUAUGAUACAAAACUUUUCUCUGCAUGCAUGUUUUCUCAUUUCUGAGUCUCUUCAUGGGAACUGAUGACUGGUUUAUAGCAAAAUGUUUUCUUUUUUUAUUACUUUUUUAUGAAUUUUCUGAUUGCUGAUGUCUGCUUUCUCAUACUUAUAGCACUCAAAGAAUAUCACCUUUUGUGAAUUCUAUAUCUAUAUGAGUCUAAAUUACAGGAAAAUAUUUUUCCACAUUCAUUACACUCUUAAGAAAUCCUCUGUGUGAAUUAUCUGAUGUAUGAUUGAUUUCUGACAAAUGGCUUUUUUUCACACUAAUAACAUUUAUAAGCUUUCUUCUUUACAUGAGCCCCUGUUGUAAAGGUUUUGAUUUCCAGCAAAAAAUUUCUCACAAUAUUUAAAUUUAUUUUGGGAAAAAGCUCUUCCACAUUCACUAUAUUUUUACGGUCCUGAUUUCAAGACACACCUCGAGUCAGUUCACUGCUGUCCAUCUGUGCCGACUCCAUAGCCCCGAGCCCUGACAUUUCUCCCCAGGACUCAUUCCAGAGGCUUGAGCCAGUUUUCUGUUCCAUAUUGCUCCCACGUCACCAGCUACCCACGUUCCAUAUAAUAGCCUGAUGUUUUUAAGAAUGAAUUUAAUUUUAUGAUCCCUUGUUUAAAACUCUUCCAUGAAAUCUCAUUUCUCUGAGAAUAAACUCCAGUCCCUAAUAGCUCUUCA
rnacentral:lncRNA from 1 species